rnacentral:rRNA from 1 species
GGCGGCAGGCCUAACACAUGCAAGUCGAGCGGUAGCACAGAGAGCUUGCUCUCGGGUGACGAGCGGCGGACGGGUGAGUAAUGUCUGGGAAACUGCCUGAUGGAGGGGGAUAACUACUGGAAACGGUAGCUAAUACCGCAUAACGUCGCAAGACCAAAGUGGGGGACCUUCGGGCCUCAUGCCAUCAGAUGUGCCCAGAUGGGAUUAGCUAGUAGGUGGGGUAACGGCUCACCUAGGCGACGAUCCCUAGCUGGUCUGAGAGGAUGACCAGCCACACUGGAACUGAGACACGGUCCAGACUCCUACGGGAGGCAGCAGUGGGGAAUAUUGCACAAUGGGCGCAAGCCUGAUGCAGCCAUGCCGCGUGUGUGAAGAAGGCCUUCGGGUUGUAAAGCACUUUCAGCGGGGAGGAAGGCGGUGAGGUUAAUAACCUCACCGAUUGACGUUACCCGCAGAAGAAGCACCGGCUAACUCCGUGCCAGCAGCCGCGGUAAUACGGAGGGUGCAAGCGUUAAUCGGAAUUACUGGGCGUAAAGCGCACGCAGGCGGUCUGUCAAGUCGGAUGUGAAAUCCCCGGGCUCAACCUGGGAACUGCAUUCGAAACUGGCAGGCUAGAGUCUUGUAGAGGGGGGUAGAAUUCCAGGUGUAGCGGUGAAAUGCGUAGAGAUCUGGAGGAAUACCGGUGGCGAAGGCGGCCCCCUGGACAAAGACUGACGCUCAGGUGCGAAAGCGUGGGGAGCAAACAGGAUUAGAUACCCUGGUAGUCCACGCUGUAAACGAUGUCGAUUUGGAGGUUGUGCCCUUGAGGCGUGGCUUCCGGAGCUAACGCGUUAAAUCGACCGCCUGGGGAGUACGGCCGCAAGGUUAAAACUCAAAUGAAUUGACGGGGGCCCGCACAAGCGGUGGAGCAUGUGGUUUAAUUCGAUGCAACGCGAAGAACCUUACCUGGUCUUGACAUCCACAGAACUUUCCAGAGAUGGAUUGGUGCCUUCGGGAACUGUGAGACAGGUGCUGCAUGGCUGUCGUCAGCUCGUGUUGUGAAAUGUUGGGUUAAGUCCCGCAACGAGCGCAACCCUUAUCCUUUGUUGCCAGCGGUUAGGCCGGGAACUCAAAGGAGACUGCCAGUGAUAAACUGGAGGAAGGUGGGGAUGACGUCAAGUCAUCAUGGCCCUUACGACCAGGGCUACACACGUGCUACAAUGGCAUAUACAAAGAGAAGCGACCUCGCGAGAGCAAGCGGACCUCAUAAAGUAUGUCGUAGUCCGGAUUGGAGUCUGCAACUCGACUCCAUGAAGUCGGAAUCGCUAGUAAUCGUAGAUCAGAAUGCUACGGUGAAUACGUUCCCGGGCCUUGUACACACCGCCCGUCACACCAUGGGAGUGGGUUGCAAAAGAAGUAGGUAGCUUAACCUUCGGGAGGGCGCUUACCACUU